GGAGAGGUGUCCGAGCUGGUUGAAGGAGCACGAUUGGAAAUCGUGUGUACGCUAAUACCGUACCGAGGGUUCGAAUCCCUCUCUCUCCGCCA
rnacentral:tRNA from 1 species